rnacentral:rRNA from 1 species
UGCGUAGGCGGAUUUGCAAGUCAGUGGUGAAAUCCUGCAGCUUAACUGUAGAACUGUCAUUGAAACUGCAUAUCUUGAGUACAUUUGAAGUGGGCGGAAUGUGUCAUGUAGCGGUGAAAUGCUUAGAUAUGACACAGAACACCGAUUGCGAAGGCAGCUCGCUAAACUGUAACUGACGCUGAGGCACGAAAGCGUGGGGAUCAAACAGGAUUAGAUACCCUGGUAGUCC